rnacentral:rRNA from 1 species
AAUAGAUACCCUGGUAGUCCACGCCCUAAACUAUGUCGACUGGUUGUUGGGGGGAGUCUGUCCCUCAGUAACGUAGCUAACGCGUGAAGUCGACCGCCUGGGGAGUACGGUCGCAAGAUUAAAACUCAAAGGAAUUGACGGGGGACCCGCACAAGCGGUGGAUUAUGUGGAUUAAUUCGAUGCAACGCGAAGAACCUUACCUACCCUUGACAUGCCAGGAACCUCGCAGAGAUGUGAGGGUGCCCGAAAGGGAACCUGGACACAGGCGCUGCAUGGCUGUCGUCAGCUCGUGUCGUGAGAUGUUGGGUUAAGUCCCGCAACGAGCGCAACCCUUGCCAUUAGUUGCUACAUUCAGUUGGGCACUCUAAUGGGACUGCCGGUGACAAACCGGAGGAAGGUGGGGAUGACGUCAAGUCCUCAUGGCCCUUAUGGGUAGGGCUUCACACGUAAUACAAUGGCGCAUACAGAGGGCUGCAAACCCGCGAGGGGGAGCCGAAUCCCAAAAAGUGCGUCGUAGUCCGGAUUGUUCUCUGCAA